UCCGUAGGUGAACCUGCGGAGGGAUCAUUACUGAGUACUACACUCUCUACCCUUUGUGAACUAUUAUACCUGUUGCUUCGGCGGCGCCCGCGAGGGUGCCCGCCGGUCUCAUCAGAAUCUCUGUUUUCGAACCCGACGAUACUUCUGAGUGUUCUUAGCGAACUGUCAAAACUUUUAACAACGGAUCUCUUGGCUCCAGCAUCGAUGAAGAACGCAGCGAAACGCGAUAUGUAAUGUGAAUUGCAGAAUUCAGUGAAUCAUCGAAUCUUUGAACGCACAUGGCGCCUUCCAGUAUCCUGGGAGGCAUGCCUGUCCGAGCGUCGUUUCAACCCUCGAGCCCCCGUGGCCCGGCGUUGGGGAUCUGCCACGGCAGGCCCCUAAAACCAGUGGCGGACCCGAAGGCCCUCUCCUUUGCGCAGUAGCAUCAGCCUCGCAUUGGGAUCCCUCGGCGUCCUGCCUCUAAACCCCCCACAAGUCCGCUCCGGCGGCACCAAGGUUGACCUCGGAUCAGGUAGGAAUACCCGCUGAACUUAAGCAUAUCAAUAAGCGGAGGAACCG
rnacentral:rRNA from 1 species